rnacentral:rRNA from 1 species
AUAUCACUACCCAGUUCCGCAUCAUUUCCUAAAAUGAUGAUCUCAUUAUUAACUAUUCUCGCAAAACCGCUCCACAGAACCGUUGUUAACCAUUGGUCGUUGAGGAGGAGUAUUCUCAAAGGACCCAUAUCUACUGCUGUGUUAAUGGGGGCGUGGUUUGGUAAUACGCCAAUUUGGCCACUAUGAGUGGAUAAAAUGAUUUCUUUCACCGAAGUAAAGGCCAAACACUUCGGCCUAAGGGGAAUGAGCAACAAAAUGACAAGAUGA